rnacentral:rRNA from 1 species
UACGUAGGGUGCAAGCGUUGUCCGGAAUUAUUGGGCGUAAAGAGCUCGUAGGCGGUGUGUCGCGUCGGCCGUGAAAACCUGCAGCUUAACUGUGGGCUUGCGGUCGAUACGGGCAUCACUGGAGUUCGGCAGGGGAGACUGGAAUUCCUGGUGUAGCAGUGAAAUGCGCAGAGAUCAUGAGGAAGACCAGUGGCGAAGGCGGGUCUCUGGACAGUUCCUGACGCUGAGGCACGAAGGUCAGGGGAGCAAACGGG